UACUCAAAGCCAGCCGGCAGCGCAGCAUCACAGGCAGAAGGGGAGACUUAAAGCGUCUUUAAAACAUCUGAUAAAUGAUGGACAGGGGAGCCCUCAAAUCAGAUCCGGAAUGGGGCGGCAGAUGGGACACAGUUAUUCCACGGCUUCCUUUAACAAACUUUAGCUUGUAUUCUUGUGCAUAAGUAGCCGUUCAGAACUCAUAUUGAUUGAUUCAUCGGUUGACUGAUGUGUGUGUGUGUGUGUGUGUGUGUGUGUGUGUGUGUGUGUGUGUCUUCUUCUAUACUCCACCUUAUUCCCUUGUGUCACGGUCUCUUACUGAACCUGGUGCCACACUGCACUCCCACACUGCAAGCCCCAGCGAUCCGUCAUCUCCACCCUCAAGCUCCCAGAGCCUGGGUUGCAGGCACAUGUAUCCAUGUCUGGCUUUUUCUCCUUGGGUACUAUGGACUUGAACUCAGGUCCUCAGGACACCAUCGGCACCCACCCCCCAAACUCCCCACCGAAGUUUUACUCUAAAAACAGGCUCUCUGUGUGUGAGCUGCACUUGUUUUGUGAGGUGCUAACUCAGUGGUGGGGUUGGGGGCGGAGCUGUGGGGGCGGAGCUGUUGGGGCGGAGCUGGAAUCCUGGGUGAAAGACAAAGGAUUCUGUAUGACUCACCAGUUGUAGGUGACUCCAUAAGCAUCAACUCAAAGGUUUCAUUUCUUAGAAGUAAACUCGAAUUCAUUCCUGUUGGCUAAAUUAAAAGGACUCCAGCCCACACGAUGCUAACUAAGCACUGAAUGGGGAAUCCCAAAGUAACAGACCCAGAGGAAGAGUCCAGCCUCUCCAUCCGCAAUAAUCCAAUCAGCCUCAGCGGGGAGGCCCGCCGCCCGCACCCCGCAAGAGAAGGCGAGCACCAAGCAGAGCCAACGCACACCACUACUUUCUCUUUUCCUUGCGAGCUAAGUUGAACAGAAUUAAAACGAAAAAAAAAUCCACACGAAAAGAAA